GCGCUUCUGAAUAUUUGGAAAAUUUAAACUAAGAUCAAAGUUACGGUCAGCGAAAAUCGAAAAAUCGCGUCGCGUUGUCGAUUCGCGUCCGUUGUGUCUGGAACUUUACGUGUAAUCCAGAGUACGUUUGUGUUAUUACAAAAUGUUUCAAUCAAUCAAUUAAUCAAUCGUGAUGGUACACAAAAUGUCAUUAUUCUGGACUUAUCAACAUGAACAAGUUCUGUG